UAUCUCUGUAGAGUCUGCAUAUCAAUAAGCGGAGGAAAAGAAACUAACUAGGAUUCCCUUAGUAACGGCGAGUGAAGCGGGAAGAGCUCAAAUUUGAAAUCUUCAAGGUUUUACCUUGACGAAUUGUAGUUUAAAGAAGUGUUUUCUGUUGAGGUUUUGGUAAAAGUUCUUUGGAAUAGGACAUCAUAGAGGGUGAGAAUCCCGUAUUUGACCAUUAUUUCCAGCUUUGUGAUACACUUUCAAAGAGUCGGAUUGUUUGGGAAUGCAGUCCAAAAUGGGUGGUAAAUUUCAUCUAAAGCUAAAUAUUGGCGAGAGACCGAUAGCGAACAAGUACCGUGAGGGAUAGAUGAAAAGAACUUUGAAAAGAGAGUUAAACAGUACGUGAAAUUGUCAAAAGGGAAGCGUUUGACACCAGUGUUGUUUUCUCGAAAAUCAAUUAAAAAAAGUUGGAUUUUGUAUUGUUAAGACCUUAUCAGCUUACUGUACUCCUUUCUUGCUUUUUUUAAUGCACUUUUCGUUUAACAAGUCAACAUCAAUUUCUUUUGUUGUAAAAGAGUCAUUGGAAGGUGGCUUUCACUUCGGUGAAAGUGUUUAUAGCCUUGGCUUCUGCAAUCGGAGAGAUUGAGGUCUGCAGCGUAGAUCCUUCGGGGCUAGAUACGUAGAUGCUAAGUUAUAGUUUUUUAUAGACAACUUGUUGACUAUAAUUAAUCAUGUAGCUUACUCGUUUGCGCUAUUUUACCUACGCUUAGGAUGUUGACGAUCAGCUGAGCGCG
rnacentral:rRNA from 1 species